UACGGAGGGUGCAAGCGUUAAUCGGAAUUACUGGGCGUAAAGCGCACGCAGGUGGCUGAGUCAGUCGAUUGUGAAAGCCCUGGGCUUAACCUGGGAAUUGCAGUCGAUACUACUCAGCUAGAGUAUGGGAGAGGGCAGUGGAAUUCCCGGUGUAGCGGUGAAAUGCGUAGAUAUCUGGAGGAACACCGGUGGCGAAGGCGGCAUCCUGGACCGGUAUUGACGCUGAGGCGCGAAAGCUAGGGGAGCAAACGGG
rnacentral:rRNA from 1 species